UACGUAGGGGGCAAGCGUUUGUCCGGAAUUAUUGGGCGUAAAGAGCGUGUAGGCGGCCAGAUAAGUCCGCUGUGAAAUCUCGAGGCUCAACUUCGAGCUGUCGGUGGAAACUAUCUGGCUAGAGUCCGGAAGAGGAGAAUGGAAUUCCUGGUGUAGCGGUGAAAUGCGCAGAUAUCAGGAAGAACACCCCGUGGCGAAGGCGGUUCUCUGGGACGGUACUGACGCUGGAGACGCGAAAAGCGUGGGGAGCAAACAGG
rnacentral:rRNA from 1 species